rnacentral:rRNA from 1 species
UGGUGUCGCAUGCUCCGGCCGCCAUGGCGGCCGCGGGAUUCGAUUAGAGUUUGAUCCUGGAGAUUCUCCUGGCGGCAUGCUUAACACAUGCAAGAGACGGCUUCCUCUUCGGAGGGCUAGUAGAGUGGCGGACGGGUGAGUAACACUUGGGAAUCUGCCCAACAGCGGGGAAAUAACCCGGGGAAACUCGGGCUAACACCGCAUGCGUUCCACGGAAGAAAGGGGGCCUCUUCUUGAAAGCUCCCGCUGUAUGGAUGAGCCCAAGAUCAGAUUAGCUAGUUCGUGAGGUAACGGCUCACGAAGGCAACGAUCCGUAGCUGGUCUGAGAGGAUGAUCAGCCACACUGGGACUGAGACACGGUUUUUUUUCCCCCCCCGGAGGCAGUUGUAAAAAAAAAAUGUUUUAAUGGGCGAAAGCCUGUUGGGGGGGGGGGGGGCCCCCCCCCCCAGGUCUGCGGGUUGUAAAGCACUUUCAGGAGGGGGGGGGGGGGGGGGGAACUAAAUACUCCCUCUUUUUUGACGUUACCUGCACAAGAAGCACCGGGCUAAACCCCGUGCCAUCAGCCGCGGUAAUACGGGAGGGGUGCGAUCUUUUACCCGGUUUUUA